CUUCUUCUCUCGUCGUCGCGUCGCGCGCGGGCGGCGAGGCGAGGGCGUCGCGAUUCCUCCUCUUUCAAAUACUCCCACGGCGAGGACCGCGGCGAGGGCGCGCGGGCCAUUGCUGCUGCUUCUUCUGCUGCUGCGUGUGUGUGGGUGAGACCUGAGAGGAUGGGAGCGGAGGCGGUGAGGGUGCUGGUGGUGGACGACUCGCCGGUGGACAGGCGGGUCGUGGAGCUGCUUCUCCGGGCGCACUGCGGCGGCGGCGGCGGCGCCGCCGCCGGCGAGGCGGCUCCGUUCCACGUCACCGCCGUGGACAGCGGCAAGAAGGCGAUGGAGCUGCUCGGCCGGCGGCGGGGGGACCGGGACCACCUCACCCCAUCCUCUCCGGCGGCGGCGGCGGCGGCCAACGAUCAAGCGAUCGACAUCGUGCUGACCGACUACUGCAUGCCGGAGAUGACAGGAUACGAUCUUCUCAAAGCCAUCAAGGCGUUGGGGUCGCCGAAUCCGAUCCCGGUGGUGGUCAUGUCGUCGGAGAAUGAGCCCCAGAGGAUCAGCAGAUGCUUGACAGCCGGUGCCGAGGAUUUCAUCCUUAAGCCUCUCAAGAUGAACGAUGUCCAGCGCCUCCGGAAAUGCUCCGGCGCCACCAGGCCGAAGUCCGCCGUCGCCGGAGACGAUGACCGGUGCUGCAACACGGCCAAGAAGGCGGCGGCGGCGGCCGCAGCCACACCGGAGCAGCAGCAGCAGCAGCAGAGAUCGUCGCACCUGGCAGGACUAGCCAUGGCAUGAUCCCUUUUCUUCUCAAAUGCAUAUCAAAUUAACCUUUUGAUCAAACAUGUCAUACGACGAUAUACCUCAUACUACCUCAUACUACCUAGAUACCAAGAGGUGAUGAAUGCAUCCAGCUUCGAGGUGUCGCACUACUUCCAGCUCAUCUUCAAGCUCAUCCUGCUCGCCUACGCCGUGCUGUGCCUCAGCCAGCUCCUGCACAGAUGGUCCAAUGGCAGCAGCCUCCUCUCCCUGUGGUGCGCAUGAAUUCAAGAAAUUAAAUCAAAUCGACGAUCCAGAAGGCUGGAUUGAUUAAUUUCCCAUUAUCGAUGAAAAAAAUUGAAAAAAAAAGAGAGAUGGAUGAAGACUCAGUGGCAUAGCGUGGAUUUAUCCGAAACUGAAACCUCUUCAUCAAGCAAGAGUGCAGCUAAGGUGGACUAAUUGGAUGCAUGAUGAUCUCCAUCCCAGCUAAGCAUGGGGGUUCUUAAUUAAUUCAGCUAUAAUAUAAUUUUCAACAGCCAUGCAUGCAGCAGCAGCUAAGAUGUGAUCUUUCUAGGGGUAGAUUUGUUACUUAUUUGUUCUUAAAUUCUCAAGAGGAUUCUAACCAGGUUAUUAAUUAUUUUCAGAGGUUUUUAAGUGGUACUAUACUACUACUGCUACUUAGAUUAUUUUGCUGAGAGAGAAAAGAGUAGCAGUACAGUAGCACCACAAUUUGCUCAUUUGUAUAAAGGGGAACGCAUGAUUUGAGUGGGCAUCUGGUGUCGUUUUUAAUCCUGA